rnacentral:rRNA from 1 species
CUUACACAUGCAGUCGAGGGGUACAGGUCCCUUUCGGGAUGCUGACGACCGGCGCACGGGUGAGUUACGCGUAUGCAACCUGCCCAUAGCUGGAGGAUAGCCCGGAGAAAUCCGGAUUAAUACUCCAUAAUAUUUCGAAACCGCAUGAUUUUGAAAUUAAAGUUUCGGCGGCUAUGGAUGGGCAUGCGUGCCAUUAGCUUGUUGGUAAGGUAACGGCUUACCAAGGCUACGAUGGCUAGGGGUUCUGAGAGGAUGAUCCCCCACACUGGUACUGAGACACGGACCAGACUCCUACGGGAGGCAGCAGUGAGGAAUAUUGGUCAAUGGGCGCAAGCCUGAACCAGCCAUGCCGCGUGCAGGAUGAAUGCCCUAUGGGUUGUAAACUGCUUUUGUACAAGAAGAAUCUUUCCGACGUGUCGGGAAUUGACGGUAUUGUACGAAUAAGCAUCGGCUAACUCCGUGCCAGCAGCCGCGGUAAUACGGAGGAUGCAAGCGUUAUCCGGAUUCACUGGGUUUAAAGGGUGCGUAGGCGGGAUAGUAAGUCGAUGGUGAAAGCCUGCAGCUUAACUGUAGAAUUGCCAUUGAUACUGCUAUUCUUGAGUG